GCCUGGCUGGCUCAGUCAGUGGAGCAUAAGAUUCUUGAUCUAGGAGUUUUGAGUUCAAGCCCCACGUUGGGCA
rnacentral:tRNA from 1 species